UUAACCAACCAAAAUUAGCUUCAGUCAUUAUGUAUUGAACAGAAGCAAAAGCAUCAUCUCCUUCAUCUUCAGUUUGGAUCAAUUACUCAAGAACAAAAAGCAUAAUCUUGAUGAACAACAUUAAGGUACUCAUAGUUGUUUUAUUGUAUUUAUAUUUUAUUUAUGUCUCAGAUCUGGUCAUCCAGAGAUUUUAAACCUGUCAAAGUCCUUUCCGGUCAUGAAGUUAAAGUUACAUCUGUUGAUGUAGCUGCAGGUUAAUCCUUGUUUUCUUGUAAGAGCUUAAACGGGUACUUGGGUAGAAUGGGUUGAAAUGAUUUAAUGCAUAAAAUAUUCCAAAAUCGUAUUAUUUGGUGAGUAAUAAAAUUUUGUAAUCAUGUUAAACACUAUUUGUUUGUGGAAAAAUCUGAAAAUAUUGUAUAACCUCUGUUUCGGGUUUGCCAGCCCGAUCCACACCUGAACAGUUGACCCGGCUGUUUUGUUAUCUCUAGAAUUGAGCGGUUUGGUGUUAUCGGUUUUGCAGAUGGGUAAAGUAUUGCGAGUUUGCUACUGUUUCUCAUGACAAGACAAUUAAACUAUGGUCUAGCAAAAAUGCUGAAAAGGAUAAGGCAAUGGAUGUUGACUGAAUUUCUUUAGGCAAAUUGUAUACGAGGUAAAGUCUGUGAAGAUGAAGAGGAUGAUCAUAUGAAUAUGAAAGUUAAAGAUGAAGGAAAUUAUUAGGGUAUUAAAAGGGGGAAAGACAAGUGGGGAGGUGAAAUGACCGUUCUAUCCUCAUGUGCAUGUGCAGUGCACAUGACAUAACUUAACUGAAAAUUAUAACUGGGUUUGCUCUAAAGGACAUAACGUGCAACACUUUCAAACAUCAAGUACAAAAGUCAUCAAUUUUAAAUGUAAAGGACAGCGCCUGAAAUUUGGGACAAACAUAAAGGACAAAACUUGUAAUUUACUCUUAACUAAAACAAAGAAAAAAAUUUACAUUUGUCAUCAGAUUUGCUAUUUUGAUUAAUUUUUUUUAUUGUUAACCAACUAUCUCAAUGUAAACUAUUAGAAAUAAGCCUAUAUUUUGUUAACCAAAAAGACAAUAUUGUUUUCAUUUU
rnacentral:lncRNA from 1 species